rnacentral:rRNA from 1 species
CGUGUAGGCGGACUCGCAAGUCGGUUGUGAGAUCCCUGGGCUCAACCUAGGAACUGCAUCCGAAACUGCUUGUCUUGAGUAAUGGAGAGGGUGGCGGAAUUCCCGGUGUAGAGGUGAAAUUCGUAGAUAUCGGGAGGAACAUCAGUGGCGAAGGCGGCCACCUGGACAUUUACUGACGCUGAGACGCGAAAGCGUGGGGAGCAAACA